rnacentral:lncRNA from 1 species
CUAAUUGCAACCCUCACUUUCACUCCAAGAAACACAGAAAGAAUGGGAAAACUGAAUGUUAUUCACAGAAGAAUGUCUGUACAGAUAGAACACAAAGGCAUAACCCUCUUCAACAGGUAAGUACCCGUUAACAACCAAACAAUCAACCCCCCUCAGUAUCUGCCUUCUAUUUAUUUAUACACCCCAACCCAACUGUUCUAACUGAUAAAACAGUUAAACGGUUACAGUUAGUUCCCCCUAAUCAGUUCCCCUUCUUUCUUCUGUCAUAAACCAACCAUCUCCUAUUAUCCCUAUCAAUACCCGCUCCUUGAACUCCAACCUUAUCCCCAAGGUUGAAAUCGGGAUACUGUUCCCGUAUCGUGAUUUCAUUCUCCUAGGUAGCCCUUUCUUGUCCUCCUUCUUGCCACUCAACUAGUAGUUGUAGUACACUUUCCCCUCCUUCCUGCAGCUGCCUUCUUCCCAAAAUGUUUACGGGCCAGAAUGAAGGUCCUUCGGCCUGCAGGUCCUGUGGUAAGUCCCUCUCCACCCUUUUUUCUCCUAUCGCCUUCUUCACUUGUGAAACAUGGAAGAAGACAGGAUGAAUUCUAGCUGUCUCCGGUAGCUGUAACUUACAUGCAUUCUUUCCCACCUUCUGAACCACCAGAAACGGUCCAAAGUAUCUAGUUGCUAGCUUUGGAUGGAGCCUGGUUGGCAUUGAUGUUUGUCUAUGAGGCUGUAUCUUCAGGUACACCCAAUCCCCCACUUCCACGUUCACAGCCUUUCUCCUUUUAUUAGCUUGCCUUACCAUAAGAUCCUGUGCCCUUUCCAGAUGAAACUUUAAUUGUUUCAGGGCUUCAUCCCUGGUUAGGAGCUCUUGACUCACUGCCUCCACCAAAGAUUCUCCAUGAAUGAACCUAUGCAAAGAGGGAGGCGCCCUCCCAUACACGGCUUCAAAUGGGGUGCACCUUAUUGCUCCUUGGUAGCUCGUGUUGUACCAAUUUUCGGCCCAUGACAACACGGUCAUCCACCCCUUUGCUGCUCCGAACAGAAUCACCUAAGAUACCCCUCCAAAACACGAUUUAGCACCUCCGUUUGACUGUCCGUCUUAGGGUGGUAGGCGGUACUCAUCUUUAGCUGCGUACCCUGCCCUUUAAACAGUUCCUUCCAAAAUAUACUCAGGAACAACGGAUCCUGGUCAGAUACUAUAGAUUGUGGUAUCCCAUGCAACCUCACAAUUUCUCUUAUGAAAAUUUCAGCCACUAUUUUCGCUAAAUAUGGGUGCUUGAGUGGUAAGAAGUGUGCGUAUUUGCUCAAGCGAUCCACCACCACCAAUACUGCGUCAUACCCCUGGGACUUAGGCAAGCGAACUAUAAAAUCCAUACUCAACUCCUCCCAUAUGGCAUUCGGCACUGGCAAGGGCUGUAGUAAUCCUUGACGAGAAGAUGUUAAGUACUUGUGUUGUUGGCACACCAGACACUUAGCCACAAACUCCGUUACAUCCUUCUUCAUCCCGGCCCAGUACAAUGAUUGUGCGAUACGCUUGUAAGUCCUGUACACUCCCGAGUGGCCCCCCGUUUGUGUCACAUGAAAUUCGGCUAACAACUUUGGAAUCCAUUUGGACUUAGCCGACAACACCAAUCUGCCUUUGUGGUGGAGCCUUUCAUGUUCUAAAGUGUAAGCGGGAUGGGUGUUGGGAUCUCUCCUUACGUCGUUCAUCACCUUCUGCAAAAACUCAUUCACCUCUACUUCCUGCAUUAUUUCUCCAACAUCUUGCCAAAAAGGCCGUGCUACUACACUCAGCUCCUUCUCCCCUUCAUCUUCUCCUUCAAACUGCCUUGAAAGAGCAUCUGCAGCCUUAUUCGCAGUUCCUGUCAUAAACAAUUUCAAAGUCGUAUCCCAAAAGCUUAGCUAUCCAGUCCUGCUGGUUUUGGGUGGUGAUACGCUGUUCCAGCAGAUGAUGAAGACUCUUCUGGUCCGUAUGAACUACAAAACGCUGCCCCACAAGAUAAGGCCUCCAAUGUUGUAACGCUAACACCAAAGCCAUCAUCUCCUUCUCGUAGAUGGACUUGCUCAACUUUCCUUCGGACAACGCCUUGCUGAAGUAGGCUAUCGGGUUUCUUCCUUGCAUCAACACGACCCCCACGCCACUUCCCGACGCAUCACAUUCUAUGUGGAAAGGUUGUGUGAAGUCGGGCAAAGAUAAUACUGGCACUGUCGUCAUCUUUCUCUUCAAAUGCACCCACGCCUCCUCGGCCUUUUCAUUCCACGAGAAUCCCCCUUUCUUCAUCAAUUCCGUCAAGGGUCUGGCGAUCUUGCCAUAAUCCCGGACGAACCUCCGAUAGUACCUCGUUAACCCUAGAAAUCCCCUCAAACUUUUCACUGUUUUCGGACGCUCCCAUUCCACCACUGCCUUGAUCUUUUCGUCGUCCAUCUCUACCCCUCUACUGGAGACGAUGUGCCCCAAGUACUUAACUUGGGUCUGCCCAAAUUCACAUUUCCCCUUGUUCGCAACCCACUUGUCUCGUUGCAGAAUCGUGAGCACACAUUUAACAUGUUCAAGAUGUUCCUCCCACGUGCGACUGUAUACCAGAAUGUCGUCAAAGAAUACGAGAACAUACCUGCGCAGAUAGGGCUGAAACAAUGCGUUCAUUGCAGUUUGAAAGGUUGUCGGCGCGUUCGUAAGCCCGAAAGGCAUGACGACGAACUCGUAGUGCCCCUGAUGAGUACGAAAUGUUGUUUUCUCCACGUCCCGUUCACUCAUACAGAUUUGAUGAUAACCCGCUUUUAGGUCGACUUUCGAAAAGGAAGACGCCCCCUUCAGCUCGUCCAACAACUCCUCGAUCACCGGAAUUGGAAACUUGUCCGGCACCGUCGCUCGGUUGAGUGCUCGGUAGUCGAUGCAAAACCGCCAGUUGUCGUCCUUCUUCUUUACUAAGAUCACUGGACUUGAGUAGGGGCUGUGGCUCGGUCGGAUCACCCCCGUCUGUAGCAUUUUUGCGAUUUGGUGCUUUAUCUCAGCUUUGAUGGCAUGCGGAUACUGGUAUGGCAGGACAUUAACUGGAUCGACCCCCUCUUUAAGUUAUAUGUGGUGUUCGACCUCUCGGUUAGGUGGCAGUGUCUUUGCUUCAGAGAACACCACGUCAUAAUUCUCCAGAAGACUCUCCAUCUCUCUUUUCUGUUUUUCAGUGAGGCCCACGUUCUUCAGUUUAUUUUGUUGGGCCUCCAUUGAGCCCAAAUCCCAAACCACAUAACAAGUCUCAGUUCGAUCCAUUUUCAUGAGCGCCCUGGGGCCCAACACUCUGCGUUCCAACGUGGGGUCACCCCUCACCGUCACCUCUCUUCCUCCCUCCUUAUACAUCAUCUUCAACUUUCCCCAGCCCACCAUUACUUCUCCCAGCCUCUGCAACCACUCCACCCCCAGAAUUAUUUCAACUCCCCCAAGUUCAAACAAGUAAAAUCUUUCAAUCAGCUGAGCUUCCCCAAGCUCCAACUUUACUCCCUCACAACACCCGCUAAUUCUUUUCUUUUGACCGUCUCUAAGACUCACCAUAUAAGGUUGCGUCUUGGUCACCUUCAUCCGCAGUUCCUCCACCACCCGCCGAUCAAUGAAGUUGUGGCUCGCGCCACUAUCAAUUAAAACUAACACCUCUCUGUGCCCGAUGUGGCCUCGUAACUUCAUUGUUUUGGGUGUCGUCAGCCCGCCGGCGGACAGUGCCUCGCAAGGUUCGUCUCCGUCACCUCGUCGCCUUCGGUCUCUUCCUCUUCCUCUACCACAAUUAGCAUUUUGAGACCCCUCUCUGGACAACGAUGGCCGGGGCCGAAGGGUCUGCCGCACCUGAAACAACGAACCUCUUCCCUCCGUUUAAGAUACUCCGAGUAAGGUAGGUUGCGAACAUUCCGAUCACCUCCGCUACCGGUAGCCACCCCCUUAUUCCGCCCUUGGGUCCUAUCUUCAUUAACCAACCCAACGCUUUCCGUCGUUCCCCCUCGUACCGUUGACUCUUGAUUCGGUUCAACUCGCGUCACCGAACCUGACGCCUUGCCCCAAGAAUUUUGAUUCUUGGAUACCCACCCUCCUCCGGUCUUCGUGCACAAUUUCUCCACAUCCCUCGCCACUCGCAUGGUCGUCAUCAAAUCCGGUGGGGCAUGUGGCCGGACAUGAUCGCCCACCUCCUCCCUUAGUCCGGACAGGAAAUACCCCAUGAUCUGCUCCUCUGGUAUCUGGGUCGUCUGACCCACCAAAACUUCAAAAUCACGUAUGUACUCCUCCACCGGUCCUGACUGUCGUAUGGUUGACAGCCUCUCGUACACUGCCCUCAUGUUCCUCCUCCAAAUCGGAUACCUAGAGCCCUCUUCAACCCAUCCCAAGAAAGGUUCUUGGUUUUCUCUUGCCAGAAUCGGAACCAGCUUCCGGCGUAGCCAUCCAUACUGAUAAAGGCCAGUUCCAAUUUCUCCUCCUCCGCCACCUUCUGUACUUCGAAAAACUUUUCUGCUCUGCCUAUCCAAACCCAAGGUUCGCCCCCCUCAAAGACUGGUAAUUCGACUCGCUUCCUCCAUUGUAUCAAACGCCCUCGGUUAUCGCCUCCACCUCUUCCACCUUCACUGUUGGGGCCACCGACGACUCACUCUCCCCCUAUCGCUUCCCGUGGUGAUUGUGGUUACGUUCUUCAAGCGCCUUCAAGAUUGCUUGGACGUCCUGUCGUAUCGCCGUCGUCUCCUGUCGCAACACCCCCGUCUCCUUUCGCAACGCCCCCGUAUCAGCUUUCGUCUCGGCGAUUGCCACUUCGACCGCCUCUAAGUGCCCUUCUACUACCACCAUUCUUCCCUCCAUUUCCACGCGUGAAACACUCUGAUUGGGGAUCCGGCAGGUCGGACCAAAUGAUAGGUUCCUGAAUUGGGAACCUAAUUGCAACCCUCACUUUCACUCCAAGAAACACAGAAAGAAUGGGAAAACUGAAUGUUAUUAACAGAAGAAUGUCUGUACAGAUAGAACACAGAGGCAUAACCCUCUUCAACAGGUAAGUACCCGUUAACAACUAAACAAUCAACCCCCUCAGUAUCUGCCUUCUAUUUAUUUAUACACCCCAACCCAACUGUUCUAACUGAUAAAACAGUUAAACGGUUACAGUUAAUUCCCCCUAAUCAGUUCCCCUUCUUUCUUCUCUCAUAAACCAACCAUCUCCUAUUAUCCCUAUCAAUUAACCUGAACUGUGAAUGAUAUAGGAUAUCCACCGAAUGGAUUGCGGAUAAAUACUACCAAAUAGUCGGUGGGUCCCAAGCGGUCGGUGUGGUUUGUGGUUAAAGACCACCGAACAUUUAUAGAUAUAGAUUUGUCUCUGUAAUCUAGUUUUCUGCUAUAUAAACCAUCACAUACUGUAAAAUAGGGCAUAAGUGAAUACAAUCAGAAUUUUCCUAAUCUCUCACCUCAAUUCUCUUGUGUUCGAAAUUCUUUCUUCUUACUGGAUUCCCUACUCCUCUCCUCUGGUUCUGUUCGAGACUGUGUCUUCCUAAAGAACCAUAACAAUUGGUAUCAGAAGGUAACCUUCCACCCAUGUCAUUCCAAUGGCUGCCAACACCC